UGUCUCCUCCAAUCCUCCUCCUUUGGUGGAUCUCAGCCCGGCCCCGAGCCGGGCGUUUUUUU
rfam:Thiobacillus sp. SCN 65-179 ABT21_C0002, whole genome shotgun sequence.